rnacentral:rRNA from 1 species
GACGUAGGGGGCGAGCGUUGUCCGGAUUUAUUGGGCGUAAAGCGUGCGUAGGCGGCUGCGCAAGUCGGGUGUGAGACCCCGGGGCUCAACCCCGGAACUGCAUCCGAUACUGCGUGGCUAGAGGUAGGUAGGGGAGAUCGGAAUUCCUGGUGUAGCGGUGAAAUGCGCAGAUAUCAGGAGGAACACCGGUGGCGAAGGCGGAUCUCUGGGCCUUACCUGACGCUCAGGCACGAAAGCUAGGGGAGCGAACAGG